AACGAACGCUGGCGGCAUGCCUAACACAUGCAAGUCGAACGAUGCCUUCGGGCAUAGUGGCGCACGGGUGCGUAACGCGUGGGAAUCUGCCCUUGACUUCGGAAUAACAGUUAGAAAUGACUGCUAAUACCGGAUGAUGUCCCCCUGAGAGAUCUUGGGGACCAAAGAUUUAUCGGCCAGGGAUGAGCCCGCGUAGGAUUAGGUAGUUGGUGGGGUAAAGGCCUACCAAGCCGACGAUCCUUAGCUGGUCUGAGAGGAUGAUCAGCCACACUGGGACUGAGACACGGCCCAGACUCCUGCGGGAGGCAGCAGUGGGGAAUAUUGGACAAUGGGGGGAACCCUGAUCCAGCAAUGCCGCGUGAGUGAUGAAGGCCUUAGGGUUGUAAAGCUCUUUUACCAGGGAUGAUAAUGACAGUACCUGGAGAAUAAGCUCCGGCUAACUCCGUG
rnacentral:rRNA from 1 species